rnacentral:sRNA from 1 species
GAACCAGAGGCAGGUUUUGUUCUUUGCAUAAAAGUGAGGGAAUGAUA